rnacentral:rRNA from 1 species
AUACGUAGGGGGCAAGCGUUGUCCGGAAUUACUGGGCGUAAAGGGUGCGCAGGCGGCUUGGUUAGUCAGAAGUGAAAGUUUGCAGCUUAACUGUAAAAGUGCUUUUGAUACUGCCUGGCUUGAGUCUCGGAGGGGUAAGCGGAAUUCCUAGUGUAGCGGUAAAAUGCGUAGAGAUUAGGAAGAACACCGGCGGCGAAGGCGACUUACUGGGCCGUAACUGACGCUGAGGCGCGAAAGCGUGGGGAGCGAACAGGAUUAGAUACCCUGGUAGUCCACGCGGUAAACGAUGAAUGCUAGGUGUUGCGGGUAUCGACCCCUGCAGUGCCGGUGUAAACACAAUAAGCAUUCCGCCUGGGGAGUACGGCCGCAAGGUUGAAACUCAAAUGAAUGGACGGGG